rnacentral:rRNA from 1 species
AAUCAAGUCAAGUAAGGGCACAAGGUGGAUGACUUGGCGUAAGAGGCCGAAGAAGGACGUAGUAGCCUGCGAUAAGCGUCGGUGAGCUGGCAAACAAGCUCUGACCCGGCGAUUUCCGAAUGGGGAAACCCAACGAGAGUCAUGUCUCGUUACUCCUAUCUGAAUAUAUAGGAUAGGUAGAGGGCACCUGGGGAACUGAAACAUCUAAGUACCCAGAGGAAUAGACAUCAACCGAGAUUCCGUUAGUAGCGGCGAGCGAACGCGGAUCAGCCUAAACCUUUUUAAUGUUAAAGCUUACAGGCGUUGUUAAAAGGGUGUUGUGAGGUAAUUGUCCAUUCUUUGUAGAUAGUUCGGAAAAGUUAACACGAAUUGUCUACAGGGAAUUACCAAAAGCUGUAACUUUUGGGUAAGGUAAAAAACUAAGAAAUUUAAUGGAAGGAAUCUGGAAAGAACCGCCAUAGAGGGUGAUAGCCCCGUACAUGAAAAAUUUCUUGGCCUUAUACGAUUAUACUCAAGUACCACGGGACACGAGGAAUCCUGUGGGAAUCUGGGAGGACCACCUUCCAAGGCUAAAUACCUCUUAUGACCGAUAGUGAACAAGUACCGUGAGGGAAAGUUGAAAAGAACCCCUGUUAGGGGAGUGAAAUAGAACCUGAAACCAUGUGCCUACAAAGAGUCGGAGCAUCUGAAUAGCGGAUGUGACGGCGUGCUUUUUGCAGAACGAACCAACGAGUUAAUGGCUGUUGCAAGGUUAAGUUGUUAUACAACAUAGCCGAAGUGAAAGCGAGCCCUAAUAGGGCGACAUAAGUAGCAGUCAUUAGACCCGAAACCGGGCGACCUAACCAUGGGCAGGCUGAAGCGGCGGUAAGACGUCGUGGAGGGCCGAACCCACGUCAGUUACAAAUGGCGGGGAUGACCUGUGGUUAGCGGAGAAAUUCCAAUCGAGCUCGGAGAUAGCUGGUUCUCUCCGAAAUAGCUUUAGGGCUAGCCCUGUAAAUUACCUUCCGGGGGUAGAGCACUGAAUCGGUUUGGGGCCUUUAACGGUACCCAGCCGAAAUAAACUCCGAAUACCGGAAGCAAUUAUUGCAGGAGUCAGAAUGUGGGGGCUAAGCUCCAUGUUCAAAAGGGAAACAACCCAGAUCGCCAGCUAAGGUCCCUAAAUCUAUACUAAGUGGAAAACGAUGUGAAGUCGCACAGACAACCAGGAUGUUGGCUUAGAAGCAGCCAUCAUUUAAAAAGUGCGUAAUAGCUUACUGGUCAAUUGUGAUUUCGCGCGGAAAAUAUAACGGGGCUUAAGUAUAGUACCGAAGCUGCGGAUUUCUCGUGUCUCACUAAUGUUCGACACUUCGAUAAAUCAAAAAUGAUAAAUCAAAAAUCAAAAUUAAAGUAGGCUUCAAAAGAAGCCCAUCGGUAUUACUGAAAUAAUAAAUAUUAGCUUUAGCUAAAUACCAAAAUUUUGAACUUUGACUUUUGAACUUUGAAUUCGACGAGUGGUGAGCGAUAGCGAGACACGAGGAGUGGUAGGAGAGCGUUCCUGUCUGGUGUGAAGCGAAAUUGUAAAGUUUCGUGGACUGGCAGGAAGUGAGAAUGUUGGUAUGAGUAGCUAUAAAGGACGUGAAAACCGUCCUCACCGUAAGUCCAAGGUUUCCAGGGCAACGUCGAUCGACCCUGGGUUAGUCGGGCCUAAGCCGAGGCAAAUAGCGUAGGCGAUGGACAGCAGGUUGAUAUUCCUGCACUGGUGUUAUUGUUCCUUAAGCUGACGCUGGAUGGUAGUCAGAGCGCACUUUUGGCUAUGUGCGUCCAAGUACGUAGUUCGUGUCUCACUAAUGUUCGACACUUCGAUAAAUCAAAAAUCAAAUCUCAAAGAUCAAAAUUGUGGUGGAUUUCAAAAGAAAUCUCCAAAUAAUUAAUAAAAAAGCUAGCAAUGCUAGCCACCAAAUUUUUGACUUUUGCAUUUUGAACUUUGAAUUAGAGCGAGUGGUGAGCGAUAGCGAGACACGAGUGAAAUAUGAGUGAAAGCCUGGGUAAAUCCGGGUGAUUCUGGUGAGCCAAACAGACAAGAAAAGGCUUAAAUUAAUAGAUAACGCCGACCGUACCGCAAACCGACACAGGUAGACGGGUAGAGUAUACCAAGGUGUUUCGGGAGAACCCUCUUUAAGGAACUCGGCAAAACAGCGGGCGUAACUUCGGGAUAUGCCCUGCCAAACUGUGUCUCACUAUUUAGUGGGACGGAAAGUUCCAAAGAAAUAUUCCCAAAAAAAUGGAAAAAUGAAAAUUAAAGAUAUUUUUGAAAGACUAGAAUGUGAACAAAUCUGUGCUCCUCGAUAGCGAGGCACGGUUUGGCCGCAGCGAAAGACCCCAGGCGACUGUUUAUCAAAAACACAGGUCUCUGCUAACUCGAAAGAGGAUGUAUAGGGACUGACGCCUGCCCAGUGCUGGAAGGUUAACAGGAGGUGUUCACGCACCGAAUCGAAGCCCCAGUAAACGGCGGCCGUAACUAUAAACCGGACCAAUUGUAGUUACGUAAAAAAAUCUAACUAAAUGCUGGAAACUCCUUAGAGCCAUAUCACCCAAACAGUAAUCCGAAAGGAUAAGCUGAGAGGUUAGAAAAGAUACGGAUUGGACAAUCAGCAGGAAAGACUCCUAAGUCAAAAUCGAUAUGGAGAAUCCUCAGAGACUAUACGUUAGAUCCGGCCUACGGCUCGUAUGAGCAAUUGCCGGAAAGAUAUAGUCCGAUCUUCAUGGUAACAUGAAGUCUCCUUAAAGGAACUUUAAGGAGAGCUUACAAUAGUAAGUAACAUUAUGAACGGUCCUAAGGUAGGAAUUGCUGCCCCUCGUAUUGGUAACAAUACGAAGUGCAUUUGGCUAUAUGCUGGAAACCCUGUCUUCUAAAAGGAGAAUAGAAUCCCACACUACCUUUUCAAAAUAGAACGCAUGUUCUAUAAUAGAUACAAAGAAAGGUAAAAAUGUGAUGGGCGCAGACAAUCAGCAGGAAAGACUUAUUAAACUUGGAUGGAUUAUUGGUUUUGUAGACGGAGAAGGAUGUUUCUCAAUUGGAUUCAUUAGACAACAAGAUCGAAUGAAUCGAAAAGGCUACAAAACUGGGUUUCAAGUUAGUCAUGAGUUCGUAGUAACUCAAGGCGAAAAAAGUGUUGAAUCAUUGUACGAAUUACAAAACUUCUUUAAGGUUGGUCAGGUAAUUAUAAAUAGAAGAUAUGAUAACCAUAAAGAACAUAUGUAUCGUUACGUUGUUAGGAGUAGAAAAGAUUUGCUAGAGGUUAUAAUUCCAUUUUUUAAGAAAAAUAGAAUGCAUACUUCUAAGCGGAUGGACUUCGAAAAAUUUACAAAGUGUGUAGAACUUAUUGAGAAAGGAAAUCAUCUUUCUCAUGAUGGUCUAAUAACUAUUGCAAAAAUUACAGAAACAAUGAAUCAUCAAAAAUCUAGAAAAGAUUUAAUAAGAAUCCUCAGAGACCAUACGCCAAAUAUCCCAGACAUGGGAUAAUGAUAUGGUCCCGUCUGCAUGGCGACAUGCAGGGAUAACUUCAAAGGAAAAGUUAUCCGCUCGAAUAGAGUUAAGAUUUCAAGCGAAAUUCCUUGUCGGGUAAGUUCCGACCCGCACGAAUGGCGCAACGGUCUGGGGACUGUCUCAAAGAGGGACCCGGCGAAAUUGCAGUAGCGGUGAAGAUGCCGUUUUCCCAUAACAAGACGGAAAGACCCCGUGGAGCUUUACUACAACUUGACAUUGGAUUAGGGUAUAUUAUGUGUAGCAUAGGUGGAAGACUUUGAAGUUCCGACGCAAGUCGGGAUGGAGUCGACAAGUGAAAUACCACUCUUAAUAUGUUUUGGUCCUAACUAUUACCGUGAAUCCGGUAUAGGGACAGUGUCUGGUGGGUAGUUUGACUGGGGCGGUCGCCUCCUAAAGAGUAACGGAGGCGUUCAAAGGUUAGCUAGGGCUGGAUGGAAAUCAGUCCGAUAGUGCAAACGCAUAAGCUAGCUUGACUGUGAGACCUACAAGUCGAGCAGGUGCGAAAGCAGGAGUUAGUGAUCCGACGAUUCGGCGUGGAUCGGUCGUCGCUCAACGGAUAAAAGCUACCCCGGGGAUAACAGGCUGAUUUCUUCCAAGAGUCCACAUCGACGAAGAAGUUUGGCACCUCGAUGUCGGCUCGUCGCAUCCUGGGGCUGGAGAAGGUCCCAAGGGUUUGGCUGUUCGCCAAUUAAAGCGGUACGCGAGCUGGGUUCAGAACGUCGUGAGACAGUAAAACAAGGGAAUUGCUGUCUAUAAAUCUGGCUAUAUGCUGGAAACCCUGUCCUCUAAAAGGGGAAUAGAAUCUUGCACUACCUAGAAAGUUACUCAUAAUAAUAUUAGUAACUCGGGUGAAAAUGUGUCAAGUGCAGACAAUCAGCAGGAAAGGCUAGGCAACUACAUUGCAGGUUAUGUUGACGGGGAAGGUAGUUUUCAUGUUGGUAUUCGAAAAGUUUAAAUGUUAAACUUGGAUACCAGCUGGUUCCGGAAUUUCAUGUUAGUCAAAAUAGUGAUAGGAAUCAGGUCUUAAUGUUAAUUAAAGAGACAUUAGGAUGUGGUUAUAUAAAACCAAAUCAUAAAAAUAGACUAAAUGAUAAUUCGGAAGUGCUUGUCGUUAGAAAUCGAAAUGAUUUACUAACAAAAGUAAUACCUUUCUUUAAGGCAAACCCGAUAAUCUCUAGUAAGCAAAAGGAUUUUGAAACUUUUGCCGAAAUAGUAUAUUCCAUGGAAAAAGGUGAUCAUCUCAUAAGGAAAAGCUUAAUUAAUUUAAUUAAAAAAGCUUUUGCAACGAAUGGAGGUGGAAAAUAUCGUAAAUGGAAUAUAGAAAUUAUAACUGCAAGCCUAGAAUCCUCAGAGACUAUAUGCCAGAAUCCGGCAACUGCCGGAUAAGAUAUAGUCCGAGCUGCAUGGCGACAUGCAGAGUCUAGCAGAAAUGGCUAGGCCACUCCGAUUUAAAUCGGAGAAGUAACAACACUGUCGGUCCCUAUCUGUUAUGGGCGUUGAAAUUUGAAGGAAGCUGCUCCUAGUAAGAAAUUGCUACUUUACGGAGUAAUCCGUAAUGACAAUUCGGCUAAUAACGGUGAAGCCUUCAUAAAUUUAUUUGGCAACGGAAAAAUAACUGGUUUCGGUCAACCGGUUGUGAUAUAUUUGCUGAGGACCAUAUAAAUUUUUAAGGUAAUACCGUGGGAAGUCGUCUUAAAACUCAAUUGGCAUAUAUAGCGGGUUUUCUUGAUGGCGAUGGAAGCUUGAUGUUACAGAUAAAGAAGUGAAGCGACAAUGGUCGCGCAAGAUUUAUGGCAACUAUCUGUUUCUAUCAAGAUUCACGUCAUGACAAACCAUUGUUCUGGAUAAAAGAUAUUCUGAGUAUCGGAUACAUUUCAAAGAGAAAUGAUGGUAUCACAGAACUUAGAAUAAACGGCUAUAAGCAAGUAGAAAGAAUUUUAAAAUUGCUUAAACCAUUUAUCCAGUUUAAGGAGAUUCAAGCUGAUACACUUUUAAAAGCGACAAUGUUGCUUCAAAGUGAAAAUCUUGAAUCAAAAGAUUAUGAAAAACUUGUAGAAUAUAUGCUUAUAAUUCAAAACGAAAACUACAGAUCAAGAAAAAAGAAAACCAAAGAAGAAUUAUUAAAAGUUUUAGGAUUGACCCCGUAACGACUUGUCUCGCAAAGAGACGGACUUAUAUAAACUGGAAAGCCUUAAAAAGCAGGUUUAUAUGGGUAAUACGCCGACCCCUAAUCCGGCAUUGCCGGAAAGGGUGAAGAUAUAGUCUAUGCUCCUAGAAAUAGGGGAAGUACAUGACGAGAGGACCGGAGCGGACGAACCUCUGGUGUACCAGUUGUCCUGCCAAGGGCAUUGCUGGGUAGCUAACGUUCGGAAGGGAUAACCGCUGAAAGCAUAUAAGUGGGAAGCCCAUCCUAAGAUUAGAUUUCGUUACAGACUCCAUAUAGAACAUGUGGUUGAUAGGCUUUAGGUGUAAGUCCGGUAACGGAUUCAGCCGAGAAGUACUAAUAAGUCGAUGACUUGAUUUU